rnacentral:rRNA from 1 species
AGUUUGAUCCUGGCUCAGGAUGAACGCUGGCGGCGUGCCUAAUACAUGCAAGUCGAACGAAUCUCUUUUAGAGAUGAGUGGCGAACGGGUGAGUAAUACAUAGGUAACCUGCCCCUGUGCGGGGGAUAACAGGAGGAAACUCCUGCUAAUACCGCAUAGCCAUGAGCACCGCAUGGAGCUCAUGCCAAAUAUCCUUUCGGGGAUAGCGCAGGGAUGGACCUAUGGCGCAUUAGCUUGUUGGCGGGGCAACGGCCCACCAAGGCAACGAUGCGUAGCCGGCCUGAGAGGGCGGACGGCCACAUUGGGACUGAGACACGGCCCAGACUCCUACGGGAGGCAGCAGUAGGGAAUUUUCGGCAAUGGGGGAAACCCUGACCGAGCAACGCCGCGUGAGCGAAGAAGGCCUUCGGGUCGUAAAGCUCUGUUGUAAAGGAAGAACGGCGCAUACAGGAAAUGGUAUGCGAGUGACGGUACUUUACCAGAAAGCCACGGCUAACUACGUGCCAGCAGCCGCGGUAAUACGUAGGUGGCGAGCGUUAUCCGGAAUCAUUGGGCGUAAAGAGGGAGCAGGCGGCCGCAAGGGUCUGUGGUGAAAGACCGAAGCUAAACUUCGGUAAGCCAUGGAAACCGGGCGGCUAGAGUGCGGAAGAGGAUCGUGGAAUUCCAUGUGUAGCGGUGAAAUGCGUAGAUAUAUGGAGGAACACCAGUGGCGAAGGCGACGGUCUGGGCCGCAACUGACGCUCAUUCCCGAAAGCGUGGGGAGCAAAUAGGAUUAGAUACCCUAGUAGUCCACGCCGUAAACGAUGGUCACUAAGUGUCGGGGGUCAAACCCCGGUGCUGCAGUCAACGCAAUAAGUGACCCGCCUGAGU